AUGCUAUAAAUAAACACUUGACAAAAAUUAGUCAGUGUUUGGUCUGGGCGUGCGAACGAGAGAAGGAACCAAGGGAACCAAAACCCUAAACAACCUAAAAUCAUCAAAUUGAAAGGGGAAUCGAGGGCUGAUCGAAUGCAUGAGUCUAGAUACCCUUUAAUCUAAGUGUAUUGAUCAUAAGUGAAACCCAUUUUUGUUCUAGUGGUAUGGUGGAACGUGUCAAGGAGAGCUCAAGCAUAGGAGGAUAACGGGUCAAGAUAAGGCAAGGUGACAAAUACACUUAUUGGAAUACUCAAGGUAAGUGAUUUCUAUAAUCACUUCUUUAGUUGUUUAAGUAAUAUAAUGUUUUAAUUAUUAAGUUCAUAUGAAGUUGAGGUUAAAUCAAUGGAUUAUUUUGAUAAAUGCACGAAUGGGUCGAAUAAUUCAUGGAUGAAUAACAAGCCGAAUACGUAUAAGUUAAGGAAUUCCUUAACUCGGAUGUUGGACUUCAAGAUCACGUGAUAGAAUAUUAAAUUACAAUCAUAUAGGAAGAAACGUGACGCAAAACGGACGAAAAAUGAGAGAGUUAUGUCCAUUUCAGUAAGGAUUAAUGGCUAGGAAAAGUGCAGAGUUGACACGGCCGGGUGGUGAACUGACACGGCCGGGUGAAGGUUCUGUCAAAAAUAUUAUUUAUGUGAUUUAUGCGCC
rnacentral:lncRNA from 1 species